ACUGUAAUGUCAUUAAUUUGGUGUUGCAGGGAAACAGGACUGUUACUUUGAAAAAAUUAGAGCGUUUAAAGCAGGCUAACGCUUGAAUUACAUUAGCAUGGAAUAAUGAAAUAGGACGUUCGAUCCUAUUUUGUUGGUUUCUAGGAUUGACGUAAUGAUUAAUAGGGAUAGUUGGGGGCAUUAGUUUUCAAUUGUCAGAGGUGAAAUUCUUGGAUUUAUUGAAGACUAACUACUGCGAAAGCAUUUGCCAAGGAUGUUUUCAUUAAUCAAGAACGAAAGUUAGGGGAUCGAAGACGAUCAGAUACCGUCGUAGUCUUAACCAUAAACUAUGCCGACUAGGGAUCGGAUGAUGUUAAUUUUUUAAUGACUCAUUCGGCGCCUUACG
rnacentral:rRNA from 1 species